rnacentral:pre_miRNA from 1 species
ACGGACGAAAGGGUCAUCUUGACCAGGUAUAAAGUAUGGCCGGUGGGACUUUCGUUCGUCU